rfam:Schistosoma rodhaini strain Burundi genome assembly, scaffold: SROB_scaffold0007795
AGCUUUUUGAAUCCGUGAUGAGAUUUCGUCAGACACCAACCCAUUAGGGCUGAU